rnacentral:tRNA from 1 species
GGGCCCAUAGCUCAGCCUGGUAGAGCACAUGGCUCUUAACCAUGGGGUCAGGGGUUCGAAUCCCCUUGGGCCCA